UCCACCCAGGACGACGAAGACGAGGACGACGAGCAAAAACAGCCAUUGAAAGCAAGAGGUCAUCACCGCUUUCCGGCGUCAGGGGUUAACGUUGACAUUUCUUGUUGGCUGCACGUCGCACAGACGCCACAAUUUUGCAACAAGAUUUUAUCAGAGGUAAAGAAAUGUGCUAGUUGCUCAGCAGGUCUUGCUGGUACACCCUCGCAAGAGCAUGGGUCCACGGGAGUAUAUUUGCCUGGAUCUGCAAAUCUUCUACAGCAUUCGAGCCACGAAGUCAUCACUCAAGUAUCCUCCGAGGGCUGAUUUCACAAGAUAACUUUUUCAGAUAACAUAACCGAUCAACAAGGUAGUCUCCGAAAUUAAAAAGCAGGUCUGUGAGACACUACCGCUUUGCCAGGAACACGCCACAAAGUAUGAGAUAUUCAUAAGAAAGUUUGUUGUCUGCGAGUCAGAAUAUAUCUGAUAAAAAGAAAUGA